CUCCCCCACCACCUUCGGGGAGGCGUUGGCUCGAGACCUCCAGAAGUUUCCCACCGGAGACCUAGGCUGCGCAUUGCUCCGCUAGGUUGAUGAGCUUUUGCUGGGACACCCCACAGCAGUCGGGUGCGCCAAGGGAAGGGAUUGCCCUACGCUGACACCUGGAGGACUGUGGGUAUAAGUUGUCCAAGAAAAAAGCUCAGAUCUGCCGACAGCAGGAAAACGUUACUGCUAAUGUCACAGGGCGUGUAGACCCUGUUAUAAAAUUCCUAAUAUCCCAGCGGGAGUUCACUACUAAUUGCACAAUGCGUGUAGACCCUUUGAUAUUAUUCGUAUUGUCCUGAAGAGAUGUUACUACUGACGUCCCAAUGCAGCCUUUUUCGACCCACACUGCAAAAGGAAUGGAACAGAUAAGAAGGUAUUGAGAUUAGAACGUGCUGCCGUGCGGCCG
ensembl:lncRNA novel transcript